GACUGGGGCAGUACACCUGUCAAAGCGUCACGCUGGUGUCCUAAGGCGAGCUCACGGAGGACGGAAACCUCCCGCGGAGCAGAAGGGCAAAAGCUUGCUUGAUCUUGACCUAACACUGG
rfam:Patagioenas fasciata monilis isolate BTP2013 Sc31e1R_512, whole genome shotgun sequence.